CAAGCGUCUGGGGUAAGGAGUCACUGCAAUCAACCCCACUGAUGAGUCUAGGCAGUGACUCCGAGACGAAACGCAAU
rnacentral:hammerhead_ribozyme from 17 species